rnacentral:tRNA from 1 species
GAGAGUAUAGCUCAGUGGUAGAAUGUACGUCUAGCAUGCAUGAGGUCCUGGGUUCAAUCCCCAGUACCUCCA